rnacentral:sRNA from 1 species
GGCGUUACAUGCCCUUUAUUAUUGUCAGGUUUUAUUAUGAUCGUCACAUAUUAUAUUCACGCAUGAUAUUAUUUUGACGAUAAAAAUGACAAGCCCGAAUGAAUAUUCGGGCUUUUUUUAUGGUGAAGC